rnacentral:rRNA from 1 species
UGGGGAAUAUUGGACAAUGGGGGCAACCCUGAUCCAGCAAUGCCGCGUGUGUGAAGAAGGUCUUCGGAUUGUAAAGCACUUUCGACGGGGACGAUGAUGACGGUACCCGUAGAAGAAGCCCCGGCUAACUUCGUGCCAGCAGCCGCGGUAAUACGAAGGGGGCUAGCGUUGCUCGGAAUGACUGGGCGUAAAGGGCGUGUAGGCGGUUUACACAGUCAGAUGUGAAAUCCCCGGGCUUAACCUGGGAGCUGCAUUUGAUACGUGUAGACUAGAGUGUGAGAGAGGGUUGUGGAAUUCCCAGUGUAGAGGUGAAAUUCGUAGAUAUUGGGAAGAACACCGGUGGCGAAGGCGGCAACCUGGCUCAUGACUGACGCUGAGGCGCGAAAGCGUGGGGAGCAAACAGGAUUAGAUACCCUGGUAGUCCACGCUGCAAACGAUGUGUGCUAGAUGUUGGGUAACUUUGUUAUUCUAGUGUCGCAGUUAACGCGUUAAGCACA